UAUUGUACUUGUAAAAACAAACUGGUGAC
rnacentral:piRNA from 1 species